UGAGGCUCAGGACAGGUGAGGCUCAGGACAGGUGAGGUUUGGACAGGUGAGCUUUAGGACAGGUGAGGCUCAGGACAGGUGAGGUUCUGACCAGGUGAGCUUUGGACAGGUGAGGCUCAGGACAGGUGAGACUCAGGACAGGUGAGCUUUGGACAGGUGAGGCUCAGGACAGGUGAGGCUCAGGCCAGGUGAGCUUUGGACAGGUGAGGCUCAGGCCAGGUGAGCUUUGGACAGGUGAGGCUCAGGACAUGUGAGCUUUGGACAGGUGAGCUUUGGACAGGUGAGACUCAGGACAGGUGAGGCUCAGGACAGGUGAGGCUCAGGACAGGUGAGGUUUGGACAGGUGAGGCUCAGGCCAGGUGAGCUUUGGACAGGUGAGCUUUGGACAGGUGAGGCUCAGGACAGGUGAGCUUUGGACGGGUGAGCUUUAGGACAGGUGAGGUUUGGGCAGGUGAAGCUCAGGACAGGUGAGCUUUGCACAGAUGACAUUUGGACAGGUGAGGUUUGGACAGGUGAAGCUCAGGACAGGUGAGCUUUGCACAGAUGACAUUUGGACAGGUGAGGUUUGUAUGGGUGAGCUU